AUGCAGUGUGAAGGCCCUACUUUUCUAUCUGAUGAAGUGCUUGAUGCAGUGGAGGAACAGGAAGCAGCCUUACAAGAGAUGCAACUGUCGGUAAAUGCAAUUUCAGGGGCGGAUCAUCCAAGGACAAUCAGGUUGCGAGCCUUAAUUGGGAAUCAAGUUGUCCUAAUUCUGUUGGAUUCGGGCAGCACUCACACCUUUAUAGAUACUGAGAUGUUAGCCCGAGUGCAGCUCACACACCAAGAGUUGAAAACACCACUGCAGGUUAAGGUGGCAAAUGGGGAAAUGCUACAGUGCAAAUCAGUGGUGCCUGAACUGCACUGGUGGGUUCAGGUCCACACUUUUAGCUACCCAAUAAAAGUACUAGACCUAGGAGGAUAUGAUAUGAUCCUAGGGAUGGAUUGGCUAGAGCAGUGGGGCGAAAUGACUUGUCAGUGGAAAGAAAAAUGGGUUAGGUUCCAAUACCAAGACCAACUCAUAACCUUGCAAGGCUUGUUACCUCCAGCCAACCCGGUGUUACAAGAAGUAUCAGUUGAGCAAGCCAUGAGAUGGCACACUGGUAAUGACAUUUGGGCAACUGCUUUGAUCACUCCUGUGAUUUCAAAAACACCAAAUGAAAUUCCGAAUGAGGUGCAAGCAGUGAUACAAGAAUUUGCGGAUGUGUUCCAAGAUCCUAAAGCAUUACCCCCUUCACGACCCCUAGAUCAUGCCAUACACCUGGUACCUGGGGCUCUUCCAGUGAAUGUAAGACCUUACAGAUACUCUCCUCUUCAAAAGGAUGAAAUUGAAAGACAAGUGGCUGGGAUGCUAGAAGCGGGGUUGAUAACCCCUAGUGUCAGUCCUUUUGCCUCUCCCGUGCUGCUGGUCAAAAAGAAAGAUGGCACAUGGAGAUUUUGUGUGGAUUACAGGAAACUUAACUCCAUCACUGUGAGGAGCAGGUUUCCUAUGCCUGUGGUGGAUGAACUAUUAGAUGAGUUGGCAGGCACUAAGUGGUUUACAAAAUUGGACCUAAGAGCAGGGUACCACCAGAUCAGAAUGGUACCCGAAGAUAAACAUAAAACAACUUUUAGGACCCAUAAUGGUCAUUACCAGUUCAAGGUCAUGGCGUUUGGACUUGCGACAGCUCCUGGUACUUUCCAGGGUAACAUGAAUUUGUACUUCUCCAAAGGCAAUAGAAAGUACGUCAUAUCCUUCAUGGAUGACAUCUUGGUGUUCAGCCAGUCUCUAGUGGACCAUCUAGCUCACCUAAGAGAAGUGCUGCAAAUUUUGAGAGAAAACCAGUUUUAUGCUAAGAUGAGCAAAUGCUCUUUUGCUCAACAAAAAUUAGAGUAUUUGGGUCAUAUUAUCUCUGAUAAAGGGGUGGCCACAGAUCCUGAGAAAACUAAAGUGAUGUUGGAGUGGCCUGUUCCUCAAAAUGUCACAGAACUCUGA
rnacentral:rRNA from 1 species